rnacentral:ncRNA from 1 species
GACGUGCGACUGACGGAUAAGUGGAAAAGACCACGGGGAGCACGCCAUACAAAAAAGCCGACCGUCUGGGCAUCCU